GACGAACGCUGGCGGCGUGCUUAACACAUGCAAGUCGAACGGAAAGGCCCUGCUUUUGUGGGGUGCUCGAGUGGCGAACGGGUGAGUAACACGUGAGUAACCUGCCCUUGACUUUGGGAUAACUUCAGGAAACUGGGGCUAAUACCGGAUAGGAGCUCCUGCUGCAUGGUGGGGGUUGGAAAGUUUCGGCGGUUGGGGAUGGACUCGCGGCUUAUCAGCUUGUUGGUGGGGUAGUGGCUUACCAAGGCUUUGACGGGUAGCCGGCCUGAGAGGGUGACCGGCAACAUUGGGACUGAGAUACGGCCCAGACUCCUACGGGAGGCAGAAGUGUGGAAUAUUGCACAAUGGGCGGAAGCCUGAUGCAGCAACGCCGAGUGCGGGAUGAAGGCCUUAGGGUUGUAAAACGCUUUCGCCUGUGACGAAGCGUGAGUGACGGUAAUGGGUAAAGAAGCACCGGCUAACUACGUG
rnacentral:rRNA from 1 species